GUCGCUUUUUUUUAGUUAUUAUCUCGUUUGUUUUUAUUUUUAAUACAUUAUAAUUAUAAUAAGAAUACGUUUUGAACCUACACUACGGCACAACAAAUAUAAAACGUUAUAAUAUGAUGAAUUUCAACAAAAUAUUAUUUGACUGUUAAAAACUAGGCCAACUUGUAAAUGCUUUUCAACUGAUUUGUUUUAAGGUUCAUGUAUGUAUAAUCUAGCUUUAUAUGCUAACUGAAUAUGCUAAACAGUAAAUUUAUAUUUCACAUAAGCGGGUGUUGUUUCGUUAUUCUACAUUUAUCAACAGGGCGGAAAGGAAGUUGGUAGGAGUGACACCGAUUUUAGUACAGAUUGAUGACUACAUUACGUUUCAUACAUUGAGAUUACGCUAGUUUAUGAGUAACAUUUAUGAUGCUAGAUCUCUAAUACAUAUCUAUUUAAAUUUAACACAAUUUUACCCUGAUAUACAGAUAUUGACCGGAGACUGCUGCAGAAUAUAUAUAGAAUUUCUAAUAAUUUCACGUGAUCAAUGACGUUGGUUCUGCGCCAUAGUAUUUAUUAUUAACUAAUAAAAAUGCACCUAAGCUAAAAAUCCGAUAAUGUUACGAAUCUUCACGUUCAUCAACAAUAUUUAAAAAAAUGUAAUGCACUAAUUUUCAUAAUUUUAGAAAUAUUCAGCUGAUUCACGUGUUAUUAUUGAUCAAAUGAAAUGAACAGAAAUAUUAUCAUAAGCAGAGUAAUUACUCAUGAAGUUCCGUUAAAGCAAUACGUUGCAUGUACUGGAUCAAUUGGCUUAGUCCACUUCCGACAGAUUAUGGGGGACCUGCUCUGCAUAUUUUUCCAAUCUGCUGAAAAUAUUCUGGGAUAAUAGAGCUUGGAGAACCAUUUUUAGAAUGGGGCCUUGUAUUACCAAGCACUGGGACACCUUUGCCCAGCAUACCAUUCCGUUUAUGUCGGAUGGUUUCAAAUAAUCUUAUCUAAAUCUUAAUCUGAUUUUAUACUCUGGCCAAGCUCUAAGUGAUCUAUCAGGUUAAACACUACAUAAAUUCCAGACGACAGUUCCGGCAGAGGGUGUAUGAUAAAAUGCUGGUGAAUGUGAAUGACAGAUGCGGACACAUUGCGAAGAAAAAUUAAAUGAGCGUUUGUUUCAGACAUCACCUCUCCAUUUGUAUGAAAUCUUUUUCACUAAGCUAUUUAUCUAAAUUUGGAAACAGAAAAUAAUCGGAAGGCGCCAGAUUACGAGAAUAUGGCAGCUAGAACUAUAUUUUCGGCAACAAUAGUGAACGAUUGGUCAAGUUCAUUGUUGUGAUGGAACAAAACUUUUUGUCUUGAACAAAUCAUGUGACUGUGAACGGACAUUUAGCAUCAUCAAUGUACAUAUGGCCACUUUGGAAAGCGAUCACACACGCUAGUACGUUACUGACGAAAAGAAUCCUAUUCAGGUAACAAUACGUAACAUACGAUGAAAGAAAUAUAGAAGUAGUUCAUUCACAAACAAUAGGCGUAGUAUAUAUCUUAAAUCAACAUCUCUCAUCUUAUCGUUUUUGGAAUCCGGUUCAAAUUAUUUCGCAUAGAACAAGUACAAGGCGAUGAAAAAGCUUUUACCUUUCACUACAAAUUAACUACAAAUAAAAAUGCGUUAAGGUUACGAGAUUGUCAUCGACUUCCUAGAAUCGUAGAGAGAAGAUAACAAACAGAUUUGCAUUAAGAGAAUUUCAAUGUAAACACUUUAAACAACUUAAAAAAUAAAUUACAAAUAAGUGCCCCAAUUUGGUUGGUGGUGAUGUAUCAAAGUGGUAUUUUAGUCGUUCUUUUAAAGAUUUCUAGGUACUGACCUCUACUAGUUGUUUGGAAUUACCAGUGAUUAUUAAAGGUAAGUACCCGAAGUUUAUUGCAGUUAAGACGACUAUACAUAUUGGAUUUACUGCCAGCUCAUAAUUGGAAAAAUCUUUAUCUGCCACAUAAGCAUUUUUAAAAUAAUUUUUACAAUGAGGAAAUGAUUAUUUUUUUGUUGCUUUAUGUGGUAAUUUCUAGUUUUCUCAGUGUUAUUUAAAUGCAUUAACCUUCAGGAAAUGUUUAAUUGAAUGCACUCGAUAAUAAAAAGAAACAUUAUGAAUAGAAA